GAAAAGAAACAGACAUGGCCAUGCCGUCAAGUAGAAUGUAGUCUAGUAAGUGAGAUUUUUAUUAAUUUAAAACUCCUGCAGAAUAAAUAUAAAUAAUUACUAUAAUAAGUGCAAUGAAGGUGAAGUAUGUUCAUUGUAUUGGAGUGCUGGAGAUAGCACUGGAAGGCUUUAAAAUCGAUCUUGGGAAUGAGAUCCAAUAGAACUUGGUGUAGGACUGAAUGAGGCGAUAAGGAAAUGAGAAAUACCUAAGAUAGCAUCUAGGCAGGGUUGCGUAACUCUAAUAAUGGUGGUACUGUUCACCAGAAAAUAAAAUGCUGAGGCUUGAGAAACAAAAUUUUGAGUUAGCUCUGUAUGCUGGUAGUGGACACUGUGGGGAUGAAUGAAACAAGAAGGAAUUUAGGACCUGGUAGUGCAAGAUGCCAUUAAAUUCUAGGUCAGAAAUGAUUACUCUAAAGGAGAAAAAAAGGGAAACAAAUACAGCGGGAUAAGAAGCAAUGAUUUUCUAGAGGCUGAAGAAAACAAGGAUCAAAAAGCAAAGAGAAAAUAGUCACAAAUGCCAGCCAUUCAGCUGUCAGACAAGAUGAAGACUUAAAAACAAUCUGUUAGAAUUUAUAUCAUAGAAGACAGUUUUAUCUUUAGCAAUAGCCAUUUUGGUGAAGAUAAGAGAGUGGAAGCCACAUUACAGUAAGCUGGUAAUUGAGCAGGAAACAAGAAAAUGGAGCCGAAAAGGAGAAAAUGGAGCCUGUAAAUAUAGUUAAUUUUUAAAAGUGCUUUCUUAUACAAAGAGUGAAAGAAAUAAUAAAACCAUGAAAGUGCUGUGGAAAUCAAUUUGGCACAAAAACCAACCAGCCUUUCUUCCUGGAAAGAGACCACCAACGAAGCAGUAGUUCGGACCAGUCUUCAGAGGAUGCCCAUGAAAACUUGCCUCUCUUCUGCUUCACUGUUUGACAUCCAAGGACCAUAUACUCUACGCUUGGAUCGUGUGAACUCAGCCAUUUCUUGAA
rnacentral:lncRNA from 1 species